CCUACGGGAGGCAGCAGUGAGGAAUAUUGCGCAAUGGAGGCAACUCUGACGCAGCCAUGCCGCGUGCAGGAAGAAGGCGCUACGCGUUGUAAACUGCUUUUAACCGGGAAGAAACCCCAGGACGUGUCUUGGGUUGACGGUACCGGAGGAAUAAGCACCGGCUAACUUCGUGCCAGCAGCCGCGGUAAUACGAAGGGUGCAAGCGUUAUCCGGAUUCAUUGGGUUUAAAGGGUGCGUAGGCGGGGCGUUAAGUCAGUGGUGAAAUCCUGCAGCUCAACUGUAGACUUGCCAUUGAUACUGACGCUCUUGAGUGCGCUUGAAGUAGGCGGAAUGUGCCGUGUAGCGGUGAAAUGCUUAGAUAUGGCACAAAACACCGAUUGCGAAGGCAGCUUACUAAGGCGAUACUGACGCUGAGGCACGAAAGCGUGGGGAUCGAACAGGAUUAGAUACCCUGGUAGUCCACGCCGUAAACGAUGAUCACUCGUCAUUGGCGAUACACUGUCAGUGACCUAGCGAAAGCGUUAAGUGAUCCACCUGGGGAGUACGAUCGCAAGAUUGAAACUCAAAUGAAUUGACGG
rnacentral:rRNA from 1 species